rnacentral:rRNA from 1 species
AUCAUUACCGAGUUUACAACUCCCAAACCCCUGUGAACAUACCAACUGUUGCCUCGGCGGAUCAGCCCGCUCCCGGUAAAACGGGACGGCCCGCCAGAGGACCCCUAAACUCUGUUUCUAUAUGUAACUUCUGAGUAAAACCAUAAAUAAAUCAAAACUUUCAACAACGGAUCUCUUGGUUCUGGCAUCGAUGAAGAACGCAGCAAAAUGCGAUAAGUAAUGUGAAUUGCAGAAUUCAGUGAAUCAUCGAAUCUUUGAACGCACAUUGCGCCCGCCAGUAUUCUGGCGGGCAUGCCUGUUCGAGCGUCAUUUCAACCCUCAAGCCCAGCUUGGUGUUGGGACUCGCGAGUCAAAUCGCGUUCCCCAAAUUGAUUGGCGGUCACGUCGAGCUUCCAUAGCGUAGUAGUAAAACCCUCGUUACUGGUAAUCGUCGCGGCCACGCCGUUAAACCCCAACUUCUGAAUGUUGACCUCGGAUCAGGUAGGAAUACCCGCUGAACUUAAGCAU